AUCUCUUGCUGGAGAUCCCUGCCUUCCUGAGGCCUGCUGAUGGUUUCCCAAGUAUUGUUUAUAGGAAAGCAAACCAGAUCUCCUUUUCUCCUUACAACAUGCCUCAUCUCGAACAUGAAAACUGAAAGAUGAGGCAGCCACCUUAAGCAAACCUGCCCUGAGAUAGAAGAAAAUACAAGAACCUUUCAAGGACUCAGCUUCAGGAACCCUUUGGCACAGGAACUGACUCACCCAUUCUUGAGAGCCCAUCUGGGAGUGCAUUAUCUCCGGGUUGGAUGGAGCUCUGGACAGCCUGAUUAAGCAGUUGGUAACCCUGCCCAUGUCAGGGGGUUGGAACUGGAUGAUGCCUAAGGUCACUCCAACCUAAGCCAGUCUAUGAUUCUAUGAGUCCACGGUUCUUAAGAAAGAUCAUCAGCACACACUGAUGGAAAAUGUUGAUCUGUAACAAGAAGUGCGGAGAGGCGAGCCUUGAUCUCUGCAGCUUCAGGGGCUGCAGGCCAAGCCAGGAGAGUGCAGCACCUUCUGCUCAGGCGGCCCUGCAGUCACUGGCAUUGCGAGAAACUGCGUCAAAAGUCUUCCUGGGAUGCAGAAAUUUCUACUGAAUCACAUAAGACUUUAAUUGCUUCAGAGCCCAAAUAGCUUCUACACAGCCAACCCUGAGAUCUCACAUUGUGGAUGAAAUCUUUUUUUAAUCCCUUCUUAUCUGUACAGUUGGGGAUUCAUUCAUAAAAGGCUUUGAGUGUUUGACCCCAGACGUGCCCCAGUGCAGAGGGAAUCUCUCACUCUCAUAUCAGGUUGGGAUGUCUUUUACUGUCAUAAUUUAAGUGCACUUUGCACUGCUCCCAGGGUCACAAGUUGCUGUGCUCCCUGUCUUUCCUACGGCCGCUCUCCUGUGGAAGCUACCAGGAGAACUCGCUAGAUAGGAAGGAAAGAAAGAGCUAAGUAAUUAAGAAGCAAGUGUGCAUCUGUCUCAGGCCACUUGCCAAGCAUAAUGUGGUGGGGGGAAAAAUCUGCUGCCGUUUGAAACUGCUCCUGUUGAACUUGCGUACUCCAGUAGCACGGGUGACAGAUGCCGCACAGUGAGGUCUUGGGACUUUCUGUGCCCACCUAAUGAUGAGGACAUCGUGGGGUUUGUCAGACCACAAACAUGCCAGAGGUUCCUGAGGUUUAGAUAGUUCUGAACAGGUCUCUGAUUUACUUAAGCUGCCUCCCUGUCAGAAUACAGUUGCAUGUACGAAAUAAUGGAUGUGUCCAACAAUUAGCUCCAGGAGCUCACCUCCAGAUUGUGUCAAAAAGAGCUCAGAUAUGGUCUGCUUCAGCAUCAUUUAGUGAUGAGGAAAGCAAGCAAGGGAGGAUAGGGCACUGUCAAAAUCGAUAGCCAAUCUGACAGGAAGAAGCUGGAUGUUUGGCAUGUUCCAGAUUAUUUUAGUGCCCCCUGAAGAGACGAUAGAAAGAAAUCUCCUGAAAACAUCUAACUGCUCAAAGGGUUUGAUGCAAAAGCUGCUCCUGCCCUUGAAACUCAUAGCUUGACGUUAACAUACCUCCUCUGUGGACAUCAAAAAGCUAUGUGUUACUAUAUGUGGUAUUGCAUCUGUUCCCAAAUUUGUUAUUAAUUUCUUCUGAAGUUAUGAUCAUGGGAGGAGGAAGAGAGGGAGUUAGCCAGCAGCCUUGUGUGGUUAAUUGGCCUCUCAUUGAGCUGUGGGUUGAAUAAACCAGAGCACCCUCGGCACCAUGCUAUCACCAGGGAUGAGGAAAUUGAGAUCACUGUCCAUGCUUGAAUGAGGACAGUGAUUUUGCUAAUGCAUCAUUUUGUAACCUCAGUCCAUUUUCUACGGUAAGAGCGGUGACAGUGGUAUUGGUCAGCGGAUAAGUCAGUAAGGAGCUGAGGUUGCUUUCACCAUCUUUGUGGUUAUAGGGAUGGCAUGAAACCAAGAUGACUGACUGACUCCUUUCCUGUAUAGAAAUCACAUUACUAAGUCUAAAAGUAGAGAAUCCAGUCAUGGUACUUUUUCCAAUAAGUUCAUGCCUGGAUAAGUGACUCCCUUGGAUAGGUGACCAACAUAUAACUGCACUGGGUGAGUAUGAUCCCAGCACAAGGUCCAUCAAAACAGAUUUCAAAACCUUUUAAACCUUUUUCUGUUCCUGCCAAUGCACCAUCCACACCAACAACUGUUUGAAGCGCUGUUUCAUGUGAAAUGCCCAAGCUUGUAUGGGAACAUCUUUGCUUAACAUCCACCAUGCUGAUGACUGUAACUUAAUUACCAUGCAUACAGUACCAGUGACAGUAAAUAUUAGUGCUGUGUGCUGCAGAACAAAUACCCUGUGAUGAAAAAUUCAAACAGUAUCGAGUUUU
ensembl:lncRNA